GGACGUCAUCGAGGAAAACAUAGUGGGCAUCAGGGAGGAGCAGCAGAGCUGUAACGGUGUAGUCCAGAAGGUGAUGGAGGAUCUGGAGGGACAGCUGAAGGAGAUGUACUGGAGGCUCUGACUGGGAUACAGAAAAUCAAAGAGGAGUCCCUG